rnacentral:rRNA from 1 species
AUUGAACGCUGGCGGCAGGCCUAACACAUGCAAGUCGAGCGGAGCGGCGGACGGGUGAGUAAUGCCUAGGAAUCUGCCCGGUAGUGGGGGAUAACGUCAGGAAACGGGCGCUAAUACCGCUUACUAUCAGACGAGCCUAGGUCGGAUUAGCUAGUGGGAGGGGUAAAGGCCUACCAAGGCCACGAUCCGUAACUGGUCUGAGAGGAUGAUCAGUCACACUGGAACUUAGACACGGUCCAGACUCCUACGGGAGGCAGCAGUGGGGAAUAUUGGACAAGUGGCGACAGCCUGAUCCAGCCAUUCCGCGUGUGUGAAGAAGGUCUUCGGAUUUUAAAGCACUUUAAGUUGGGAGGCGUUACCAACAGAAUAAGCACCGGCUAACUUCGGGCCAGCAGCCGCGGUAAUUA